rnacentral:rRNA from 1 species
CCUACGGGCGGCAGCAGUGAGGAAUAUUGGUCAAUGGCCGAGAGGCUGAACCAGCCAAGUCGCGUGAGGGAAGACGGCCCUACGGGUUGUAAACCUCUUUUGUCGGGGAGCAAAGCGAGUCACGUGUGACUCAUUGAGACUACCCGAAGACAAAGCAUCGGCUCACUCCGUGCCAGCAGCCGCGGUAAUACGGAGGAUGCGAGCGUUAUCGGGAUUUAUUGGGUUUAUGGGGUGCGCAGGCGGAGGUGCAAGUCAGCGGUCAAAUUGCGGGGCUCAACCCCGUACUGCCGUUGAAACUGCAGCCCUUGAGUGCGCGAGAGGUAGGCGGAAUGCGUGGUGUAGCGGUGAAAUGCAUAGAUAUCACGCAGAACUCCGAUUGCGAAGGCAGCAUACCGGCGCGCAACUGACGCUCAUGCACGAAAGCGUGGGUAUCGAACAGGAUUAGAUACCCGUGUAGUC